GAGGCCCGAGUGGGGUAGGGGCUGCCCAGUGAGGUUACUCGGCGGGUCCCGGCCUCGCGCGCACGUGCCCGCCUGCUCGCGCUCGCAGUCUUGGGCGCUGACGGUGUUUCUCCAUUAUAUUCCUGCGGUAAAUGUUACUGUCAAGAAACCUGAUGCCAACUUGAUUUUCUUCCUUUGUGAUUUUGGACCAUGUGACUGUGUUACGGCCAAUGAGAAUGUGAAAGGAAGAGAUGUGCUACUUCCUGUCUGAGGCAGUUGAGCAGAUGAGGAAACUGUGGCUCAGAGAGCUGAGAUAACUGAGCUCCAUCACACCUGGAAGUCAAGGUUUACAGGAACAGCAUGACCUGACCUACCUAGACAGCUGCAAGAACAAAGGAUUCUGACACCAAGAAGUCUGCAACAACCAACCUCAUCCCUCCCUCACCUUGCCUUUAAAAGUGCUUUGCUGAAACACUUUGGGGACUUCGGGGUUUUGGGGGGCAGAGGGCACAAGCCACCUGUCUCCCUGGUUGGCCCUUCAAUAAACCUUUCACUGCUACAGACUCUGAUGUUUCAGUUUGUUUGGCCUUACUGUGAGUCGGGCAUAAAAACUUGCAUUUGGUAGCAAAGUCAGCUAUCCUUAAAUGACAUCUGGGUUAUCUGUCAUUCUCCUGAGAUCAAGCCUUAUAAAACAGAAUGAGGAAGGCCUUCUAAAAUCAUGUUGCCUUCCCAUGCAAUAGAACUGCUACAAUACUGUUUUUCUUCAUAAAACCAGUCUGUCAGUUUGCUGGGUGACAAUUCUGCUUCAGCUCUGAACACUCAAUGUUCCUUCACCUCAUACAUAAUCAAGGAUAAAAGAUAUUCAGAAUCGUGUGGACACUGCAGCUCUCCCAAAGGAUUCUACUGACCCUGAGAAUACGUGCUGGAAAUGACGGAUAACAUUUGCGUUCUGUGUGGGAUAGGGCCUUGCAUACUCCAAGACACCCUGAUGAGGAGGCUGGAGAAUGUUAUUCAGACGAGGCCAGCAUCAGAUCCUGGGCAAAUCAAUGGGGGUUCUUGUAAGAUAUGAAUCACGUCCAUUAUUUGACCCACACUUAAGAUUCUGAGUCUGUCAAUGAAGUUGGUCAAAUUGGCAGAAAUGUCUGUUCUGGUCUCUGUGAACAGUGGAGUAUAAAAUUGCUCUGAGUGGAAAAUUCAACUCUAGCAGGAAUCACGAGUCUGCAGCCAACACCAUCAAGCAAACUGAAAACCAACCAGAAUAUUAAAAAAACAAAUGACCACAAACCAUACAAAAUGUUCAGGUCCGUGGUAUAAAGAAAAAUACUCCAAGGACUCCAAAGGUCUGAUUUAUUAAAGACUUCGGUUCUCGCAAAUGCAUAAAAUUGCACAAUGACUCAUAGAAAAUCCAUCCCUCAAGGCAUUUUGCACCAGGUAGAAGAUAUAUGAAGAAAAACCCCAUUUAUAUAAGGAGCCCAUGAUCACUGUGAUUUAUUAGGCAAUUUCCCCACAUGCAAUACUGUGUGAACACCAGGCCCAGCAUGGAACCCUAACCAGAAGAAGAAAUCAAGAUGAGGCCAGAGGGCCCAGCAAAUGUCUGGAUUCAAAGGCAUGUUUGUGUGCAACUUGGCAGCAAUGAGAACAAGUAGGGAGGCUGGAAAUCUUAAAGAAAGAAAAACAUUUCCUCUUGGGCUCCAGCAACUAGAGAAUGAAGGUUUUCCCAGAGACCAUUCAUUCCCAGCUAGCUCUCUGGUCCUACAAAAUAUUAGGGCCUCACCACAUCUCCACUUUCUUCCAAAGAAGGCAGAGGUGGCCUGAUCCGCUGUGGACUGGCUCCCAGGGGCCUUUACUGGAAGUGUCUGUUCCCCUGUGGGCCCCCCUUCCCUGAGGUGUGCUUCCAUCGUGCUGGUCCAGAAGAUUAAGAUUUACACUGAGCUGCACUGAAAUAUUAUGGCUUAGGGAUGCAGAGGCAGGGAAGAGGGUGCUAGAUGAUGAUGCUGAAGUCAUGUUGGCGGAAAACGAAGUGUGAAUUUUACUCUAAAAACGCCUGAAACCACUCCCUCUGUGAUCCUGGAUGCUACAUCUAAAAUGGAGCCUGGGGCUUCCCUGGUGGCGCAGUGGUUGAGAA